rnacentral:rRNA from 1 species
UGAACGCUGGCGGCGUGCCUAAUACAUGCAAGUCGAGCGAACGGACGAGAAGCUUGCUUCUCUGAUGUUAGCGGCGGACGGGUGAGUAACACGUGGAUAACCUACCUAUAAGACUGGGAUAACUUCGGGAAACCGGAGCUAAUACCGGAUGAUAUUUUGAACCGCAUGGUUCACAAGUGAAAGACGGUCUUGCUGUCACUUAUAGAUGGAUCCGCGCUGCAUUAGCUAGUUGGUAAGGUAACGGCUUACCAAGGGAACGAUGCAUAGCCGACCUGAGAGGGUGAUCGGCCACACUGGAACUGAGACACGGUCCAGACUCCUACGGGAGGCAGCAGUAGGGAAUCUUCCGCAAUGGGCGAAAGCCUGACGGAGCAACGCCGCGUGAGUGAUGAAGGUCUUCGGAUCGUAAAACUCUGUUAUGAGGGAAGAACAUAUGUGUAAGUAACUGUGCACAUCUUGACGGUACCUAAUCAGAAAGCCACGGCUAACUACGUG